UACAGAGGGGGCAAGCGUUAUUCGGAAUUAUUGGGCGUAAAGGGCGCGUAGGCGGCUUGGCAAGUGGAAGGUGAAAUCCCUCGGCUUAACCGAGGAACUGCCCUCCAAACUGCUUGGCUUGAGUCCGGGAGAGGUGAGUGGAAUUCCCAGUGUAGCGGUGAAAUGCGUAGAUAUCAGGAGGAACACCGAUGGCGAAGGCAGGUCUCUGGGCAUUAACUGACGCUGAGGAGCGAAAGCAUGGGGAGCGAACAGG
rnacentral:rRNA from 1 species